GGCGCCUGCGCCGAGCCCGUCGAGGGGAGUGGCCGGGCCGGGCCCCCCCAGCCGGCCGGGAGACAGCCCCAGAUUUGGGAAUUUGCUGAACUGCUGGUCCUCCUUGUAUCCAGCUAGAUAAUAAACUGCAUAAAUAUAAUCAGCAGGACUCAAAUCACUCCGUCCUCCAGGAUUACAGCAGCUGCUCUAAGCUUCACCAAGAGAAGAAAGAGAAGACCUCAGUACUGUACUAUGAGAUGCAUUAGCCCUACGAACUUGUAAAUACGUUUAUAUUUACAUGUUUGCAAGGUCCAUAGGUGCUUGACAAUAUGCAUAGCCCAGAUGCAUAGACAUAACUAAAACAGUGGUUAUCUGGGAUUCACAGAAAUUGCGUUAUUUCAGAAAGCUGCAAAAGAUGGAGAGAAAACCCGAAAGGGUUGGUUAUGGGAGAUAAGUUUUCUUGGAAAGAAAUUCCUUUACAGUUUUCCACCAUCCACAAGCGACCUUGUAUGACUCGGAGUAAAAGAAUACUUUAAUUUUGUAUACUCGCGGAGCAGCCAAAAGUCUCAUUCCCACCAGCCCCAUAGCAGAACUAGUAAAACUGAAUACACAUGCGCUUAACCGCUUUAGGACAGAGUCAGCCCAUCUUAGUUUAAGCCCCCGAAGGCGGGUGUUCCAGGGAGGUAAUCAGGCAGACCUUCGACUGUAGAGGAUGAGAAGCUCUCAUAUAUCAGAGAGUGAGGUCUAGGCACAAUAACUUCCAGAUAGUGGAUAAUGAUAAGCUGAUAGAGUAGUGUCUUUUGAAUUGCGCUUGCUGUUUCUGUCCUUGGCUGAAGGAAGUCCUGUUCUAGAAGCUUUCAAAGGGAUUCUCCAGAAAAACCAAGGGAAAAAUCCUUAGCUUGGGAACAUCAGUGAAAGAUUCCAUUACUUGGUUUAUUUUGCCCCAUUUACCACAAAAACAAACAAACAAACAAAAAGCCAAUCCAAAAGGUAAAAUUUUGACUAUGUAGGAAUGUUAAAUUACCAUUCCAGUUUACAAACCAACCAAUUAUGCAAACGUUAAGUUAGGCUGCCAAAAACUGUUCAUCUUGAUUUCAGAAAGGAAUAGGUUUUGUUCUUAAUGACUGUUACCUGUCAACCAGGUAACCUCUUAGAGUUUGCAGGUCUUCAAGUUUGUGUAAACACAAGUUAUUUAAUUAUACAUGUAAAUAUUUUUGAAAUCAAGAAUGCAUGACCUUUUUUGCAAAACUGAAACCUAAGCCUAGAACUCUGUAACAGUGAUCAAAAUUGUAACACCCUUAAGAGCUAACACCCAACAGCUCUCUUUAUUAUUCCCAUGUCUACAUCUAUAUGGUGAGGCAUGUUGCUACAAAUAGUAUGGUUGGCUGAAAGCUUCAUAGGUUGACCAGUUUUCUUCUUCAGAUUCAUCACAUGGCUGCUGCCUGUUAAACAGGUAGGGAGCUAAGUUGUAAUUGCUUUCCUAUGGGUAGGUAUAUUAAUUUGUAUAGCGACUUACUUACCAACUUCUACAAGUCCCAAAAUAACUCUGUAACUUUGGGAUCCAGUGUUAAAUUUACUUAAAAUUUGUCAAUGAUUUCUUCAUCUUUAUGAUGGAACAGGUGGACCAAUAGCAUAACCACAUAAACUUCCUUUCUCUAGAAAAGUGGGAUAACAACAUAUGGUUUGAUAUGUUUUCUUAUCCAUUCUAUACUUCAUACUACUGUUCAUAGAAGACUCCAUGAUUUACACAUAUACCCACAUGCUGAGGUAAUUGGGUACAUGUGUAUGGCUGAUCCAUAUACAACUAUCAAUGCAUUCCUCCACACUGAAUUUCUGAUAAUGUUGCAAUCAAGAGUUCGUUCAGAAGUUGUAUUUGUGAAAUCCUUCAUUAUAUAACUUCCAGUUUAGGACUUAAACUGUUUGACAGUCAUUUCCUCUACUGAAAUUACAUAAUAUACUAUAUAUUGUACAGGAAAAAAUGCUUAUUAAAAGAAGGUGAAUUCCCAACAUUAUGUUUAAUAAAAGAGAUUUUCUUUAGGUCUUAAACUCCUAUUUGGUUUUACAAAUAAAUUUUUACAAAAUCACAUUCUUUUUAUUUUUAUGAGCUGGAACACUGUUAAGAAGCAGCUGUCUUCUCUAAUCAACAGUGUUUGUUUUUAAUAAGCAAACUUUCAUUGAGGUGAGCCAUUCAUCAACUCAUGUGAACAUUGUUGUAGACUGGCAUUCUGAAAGAACACUGUUCCAGUGCCUCACCACCCUCACAGUGAAGAACUUCUUCCUAAUAUCUAAUCUAAAUCUGCCUUCUUUCAGUUUAAUGUUUGUCUUAUCUCCUUGAUAUUGACAUAUUCAGUACACAGACUGAAUUUGUCAGUGACAAUGUCAUUCAAUAAGUCUCUAGUUGCAUCCCGGUCCAGCAAAGUGUUCUGCAUGUGUUAGCAAAUCAUGAUAUUUGCAUGAUUAUAACUAUUUUCAGUUCAGCUUGCAAGAUCAGUCAUUGACACAGGCCCAGACUAGGUGUGGCAGGAGAUGCUAUGAGUGGAAGGAUGCUAUGCAUUCUUUUAUCCUCCACAAAGACUGAUGCCAGGAUCUAAUCUGUACGCUUGCUCCCCACUGAAAUGAAGGCAAUGCCUUUGCUCCCAGACCAUACCUUUGCUUCACCUGUAAUAGAUGAUGAGAGGUUUGUUUUAUGGUAUUCAAAUUUUCUCGGCAUCCGUUCUCCUUAAAUGCCAGCAGGUGGUCUCAAAUAUAAUUUCAAAAACCAAAGAAAAAGACAUGUAUCCAUGUUCCUAUGCUUGUAACAAACAGAUGGCGGAGAAUAUAAAAUCAACAAGUUUUAGCUCCAUUUUUAUUUCAGUUGGAAAAUAAAUUGUAGCAAUACUACUUUAUUUUGGGGGUAAAAAAAAUUAUGUUGUAAUUACACAGAGAAGGCUUGAUAAAACAUGUUUUAGAAGACAGACUCUUGGCUACAAAUAAGGUUACUACUUAAGUGAAUAGGGACUGCUUUGUACAGGUAUAUACUUACACUAAAUUUUAGCAAAAAAAAAAAAGUGAAGUGAUGUAGAUCAGGGUGGAACCAUGUUUGAGAGAGACAAUUUUCGUUUAUCUGCCACUGUGGCAUUAAACUACUGCUUGCUUUACCAUGUCCAUAUGAGGACUCCUGUUGUGUUUAAUUAGACUGUUCCCCUGAGUAAGGAUAAUGUGAUUUGUUCCUGUGCCAGGCUCAGGAAGGGCUGUUAGCCCCUUUCUUGUGAUAACCAGGAUUUCUUAUAAGUUUAAAAUAAAAAGCUAGGAAAUACAAACUGAAAGGCCAUCACAUCAUCUAAACUUACCGUGCUGUGCAUAUAUAUUUCACUGAGUAGUUCCAUUCAUUGUUUUUAAAAUUCCAUGUAACAGGGUGCAUGAAAGCAGAAGUCAAAACCAUGAAGUUAGAUUUUUCUUGCUACUCUAACUGUAAAUGAUUUUUACCUGCUUUUUCUAGAAUUCCUUUUCUUU
rnacentral:lncRNA from 1 species